AAUAAUUAACAUAUGGAGGUAUAGUAUUACAACAUUAAAUUAUAUCUAUUUAAUUUAUACUAUCUAUAAAUCCAAUGGAUCAUCUCUAUUGUUUAAAUUCAAUUAUUGAUAGCCCAAUAAAAAAAUUUGUUAGACCCAAAAUUUAAAUGAUAAGAUUAAAAAAUAAAUGUAAUCUGACUUUUUAGAAAUAAGUCUAUUAGGUCCAUUUUAAAAAAAAAAUCACACAUGAAUCAAGAUUGUGACUUCUGUUUUAAUAUAUAAGAUUUAGAGCUUAAUUAUGUCUUCAAUUCACACAUGUUUUCUGCAGACGUUUUUGGUGUUGUUUGUGGCAUCAAGAUCACCUUUAACAAUGAAACUCAGGGAAUACAACGUGUUAUGAUUACAAUCUGAGUUGACAAAUAGGUUAGCUUGACGCUUAUGUUAUAUAGUUUUUCACAAAUAGGUUAGUGUCCUUGGUCUCAGUACAACCGUAUGUUUACAACUGCCAUAUAAUACAACAUCAUCAUACCAUUUUCCUUAAUUUCCUCAUAUCUAAUUGUAGGUAAAAAAAAAUUGAAUAAAACCUCGGGAAACACUUCUGUUUCGACAAUGAAUGCCUAUCUAGCUAGAGUAUUUUUGAAGCAUAAAAUUUUGCAGCCUCAACCUUUGCUUCCCAAAUUUAUAUAAUUGGUGUUCUCAAUCCAAAAAUUUCACAUAUGAUGUGAACUUUUGGCUGUCGUUUUCAACAACCAAGAUGUAUACUUUCUUCAUGUUUGUGGAGUGGUUUGAUUCAAGAUUAAAACUUUUUUCUGAUGAAAUAGAGAUUUUGUGGAUGCAUGUCAAGUAGAUUUACGAGAGGCUAAAAGUGUACACUGUACAUCGCAGGGAAAAAAAGCCUAUGUAAGGUUCAGUUGUAACACUGGUGGUACUAUGGGGAUGAACAUGGUAACCAAAGGUGUGCAUAAUGUUAUUGAGUUCCUUACCUAUGAUUUCCCAUACAUGGAUGUGAUCGGAAUAUCUGAAACGGGAAAUAAUAGUGAACUGGAUCAAGCGACGUGGCAAAUCAGUAGUUUGAAAGACAGUAAUCAGAGGAGAGAUCGUGAAAGGGAACUCACCAGAUAUACUCGAUCGACUUCUUCUUCCUACACAAUCUGUGAUAUGAUGGCUCUCUAUUGGUGGAUUCAACACUCACGCCAGCAAGAUAGUGUUUGAUAUAUUCAUAGCCACUUGCCAAGAUCCAGCUCAAAACAUGGAGAGCUCUCAAGACAGCACAAUGAUGAAGCCAUUAAUGGGAAAGAUAUACAAUUAUCUAUCACUACACCAUCUAUUGACGUGUUAAAAGAACGGCCAUGGAGUCGAUGGGGAUGAACUCAAGCCUUGAGUCUCAAGGAGAGUAGCGAUGAUAGUGGCAUGAGCAGUUUUGGCCUGAGAGUUAUCUCUAAUGUCAGCAACUUCAGCUGGACAACUUAUAAGUAGUCACAUGAAAUACAAAAGAUCCAGCAAAGAUAUCUCUGGAGCAACGACAUGGACGGCAACAACGUUAUACCUUUACCCUUACAAAAAGAUUGAGCAUUCCAACAUAGUGGAGAACACGUAGCGUUUUUUUAGUUUGUGCCUUUAUCUUUUCAAGUUGUAGGAAGCAAGAGCAUGUAAAUUUAUACAUCUAUCGUCUUCCAAAACCAAAAAAAAAGCAUUUAAAUUUGAAAUAUGUAUGUUAUUUGGAUUACGUAUGAAAAUCUAUUCAUCCAGCAAAAUAAUUAUUCUUGGUCUUUUGGGAUUGUGGUAUAAACCGAUGUGUGCAUAAAAACAUGUAAAAAGGUUAGUAAUUUAAAUAGAUUCAGGAACAAAUUUAUUGAAAAGCAAACAAAGUCAUUGUUUUCAACUUUUUAUCAAAGUAAGAUAAGCCAAAAA